GUCCUGAAAACCUGAAGUUCUACUAACAACUGUUAUCCUCAAAGACCUUUUGUGAAGACAACUUAACAUAAAGUUUCAGAGACUCUCUCCCCGAAAGAGCUCUCGAAAGAGCUUAGUAUGGUAACUCUGUACAGAGGUUAUCUGCAAACUUUGGUACUUUUGGCUUGUGUAGUCCACCUGAGCAGGCCGGUAUGUGUCGAGGUGCCUUCGGACACAGAAGCAGUUCUGGGGAAGUCCAUGAGACUCACCUGCAUAUCCUGUAUGAAGAGAGAGGAGGUCAAACCAAAGACUCGUGUGGAUUGGUACUACAUGCCAAAAACAGAAGGAAACAUCAAACCUGAGAAAACUCAUAUAUACAAGUAUGAAGAGGAUAAGGGAACAGAUGUAGGUGAACAGUUUAAGGGCCGUCUAAUAUGGGAUGGAAGCCAAGACCUGCAGGAUCUCUCCAUUUGGAUCUUUAAUGUCUCCUAUAAUGACAGUGGUGUCUAUGAGUGCCAUGUUCUUCGUGAGUUUGAGUUUGACUUCUUCACUCCCUCAUUUUCCAUCAUGAGGAACAUCUCACUGAAUGUCAGAGAGAGAGCCUCUGCAGACCCCACAGCAAUCUACUCUGAGAUCAUGAUGUAUGUGCUGCUGGUGUUCUUGACCUUCUGGCUGCUGGUGGAAAUGGUAUACUGCUACAGGAAGAUCUCCAGGUCUGAUGACCAGGCGCAGGACACGGCAUCUUUUAUAUCCUGAUGGUUCCUUUAUUUCAUGGAGAAAGAGUUGUGCGAUGUGGACAAACUACCUAGCUGUCCCCUCUGAGCAGAAAGACAAUCCAGCUGCUCCCGUUACCGAAUAAAAGCAGGUUUCAUUGACACGGUAUUAAUUGAUCUCAACGGGAUGAUAUCAUAUGUCAGUGGAUACCGCAAUGAAGAUAUUACAACUACAAGCCAUGAAAUUCCUGCCAGCGACCUCCCCUGUGAAUCGACUGGGUCUCGUGAAGAGCCAGUCUCGAGUGUCCAAGUGCUCAUUUUCUUUUCCUCUCUUUUAUAACCUUUUUGCCUUUUUGCUAAAAUCAAGUGCUGUCACAAUUGCAGUAGCUUAAAUAGCAAAAAUGUUGUCUGAUAAGUAACAGCCGUGCUAUAUCUGGACCUGCUGUUGUAUGAACUUUUUAAACCUUUAAACCAUUUCCUAAGUAGUUACCAGUGCCUCUGUGAUUUCUGUAACCUAUUUAAACAGAUACUGUCGGACUUAAGCGGAGAACUCAUCCUACUCUUGUCCAGGCUGUCGAGUACAACAUGUUAUUUCUUUUUUUUAUAAGGAAAUUGGAUUGGAAAGCUUUUAUACUGUGUGGAUGUGCUUUUCUGUAUGCAUCAACCAAGUGGCAAUGUCACUGAACUAUGUCUUUUGCUAUGAAUUAAUCUCAAAGUCAUUCUGUUGCUCUCCUGCAGUAUAUAUAAAUCUUUAAUCCAUGUUCAGCUCUGAUGUCAAAGUAAAUUCAGUAGGUCAAGUCUAACUGCACUCAAUUGCUCUAAAAUGUAUUCUUGAAGCUUUGACUGCUGCUGACGUUCUGAAGUAGCAUUGCUAUUGAGAUUAAAUGUGUGCCUCUUUCUAUCGUGCAACGCUGCAGAAAUUUUUACCACUUGAUCAAAUUUGCAAGCGUCCAUUAUAGAUAUAAUAUCUUAUGUUGAGUGGACUACGUUUGAGCUAAUAAACACAUUGCAUUCCACAGGUUGUGGUGAAUGUCCUCUGAUUUUUUUCCAGAAGAAUUUUGCCACCACUUUAGUGUCAUUAUUUAGCCAAUAGGUCUAUGCUGCACAAUAGCCUGCUUUUAUGCUGCUAGACUACGAGGAUGUAGCAAAAGACAGUACUGACUCUGCAUCUUCUUAUUAUCUUAUUAUUUGUGACUGUGGUGUUGCUUAAGCACCCCUGGUGUUUCCAACACUCAAUAACACUGCAGAAAAGUGGAGACCAAAUAAUUCUUAAUUUGUGUUUGCUGGAACUAAACUCUCUGUGCUUUGAUUAGUCUUCACAUAGCUUGAGCUCAGACCUAUUGCACUUUUUUUUUUUUAUGACGUGGGAACCCAGCUGCUUCUUCUCUGCAAGGAUGGAGAAGCUGUGGACGACAGACAGCCAAAUGUAAAGCACAGAGAAAGAGACAGACUGUCACUUUGAGAGAGAUGUGAUGUACGCUGGCCUUUUAGGUAGAUGUGGCCAACAGCUGUAACAGAUAUAGCAGUAGCUGUUGUUAUAGCAACACAGGCAUGGCUGUAAGAAGGCAGAUUGCCUGACAGGAUAUCAGUGCGUGAGAGUUAAGACACUUUCAUCUGGAUUAUCAAUUAGUAAGCUGUAAAUAUGAAGAUGAUACUCGUAACAAAGUGUUUAGCUGUAAGAGGAAGUUAUUGGGUUUGAUGGACAUUUGGAGAACAGAAGACUAGUGUAUGGUGUAUUGUCUGGUCGGCUUAUUAGUAAUGAAACCAGUGUGGCCUUUAUCUAUCAAUCAAGUUCACAUAAAUUGGUUAUUGAUUGCCCUGCACCCCCCGCAAACUCUCCAACAGUAUGGCGAUAUGGUUUUGAGAUACACUGUAAAAGUGCAAUUGUGUAACCCUCUGCUCCUUCUCCCUCCCUCGUUCCCUGGCUGGCUGCAGCCCCUCCCCCUCCCAACACCACCUUUUUCGGCACUAUUGUUACAAUGUGCCUCCCUCAGGAUACAACCCAGUAAUGCGGCCCACAUCCUGCUGAAAUGCGUUUCAAUUACACCACCAAACCCUGAAAGCAUCACUGCUCAGGAAAGCAUUUAAAGUCACAUUAGACCAAAAAACUGACUAUAAAUACUCUUGGCUUGUGUUCAGAUAUAUGCCAGAAGUGCCUGUCUUAGCAAGGCCAACAGAGCUGCAGCUAUUUUCAUCCUGACGUAAGAAAACAUAACCUGAGCUCAUUAAUCAUUCUAUAGUUGAGAGUUGCUGUAUAUCUCUAAAGGUCUAUGUCUCCCUCUAGUGUAAAACUUACUGUGCCAUCAAAUGACUUGUGAUCAAAGUCAAGUGGUGGAUGACAAGAUGGUCUUUCUUUUUGUCAACUAUGAUUGCGAAAUCCAGCAAAACAUGUUGUGUGGGGAUGAGGAGAGGGCUGAGUUGAUGAGGACAGUUAUUUCUAACAUGCAAGUUGCUGGUGAUCACACUAUUUUGUAAUGAAUGUGCACAUUUAUGUCUGUAAUGUAUUCAGCCUCUGGGUUACAAGACUGAACAGUAAUGGUGGCAAGAGCAGUGAUACAGGAUGUUGUAUUCUGCUAAGCAUCAUAGUUAGACAGAAACACAGACUAUCGAUUGCUGAUCAAUAGUCACUUUGCUGGAUCUGAGUUCUAUCUGUUUAGCCUUAAAUUGUUAUGAUUAUGCGCGUAAAGUGAACGAUUAGUAUGCUUUGCUUCUCUGUUUCGUGACUAGGAUGGCUGUUUUUCUCUUUUACGCUCUGUGCUGCAUACUGGGAGUCAAGGUGGUUGUUAAGCAUGUGGAGUUCAUGUAUCUGUCACACACUCUGGAUGUGUCAUUCAAAAUAAAAUGUGAAAACAGGUUCUAUACUGGGUAGUCCCAGCCUGGUGCUUCAUGGUUGGAAUAUGGUGAUGUCGGCCAUAGACAUUUCUCACAACUACAUUAAGGUCAGGCAGCAGGGGCAAGCUCAGGUGAGCGACAGCUGUCCACUAACACUGCCAGGGAAGCCCGAGGGUGGAGCUGAGGACCGUAAAGGAGACUAACAGAACAUCAAACAUGUUUUAAUAGAACCACUGAUGCUAAAAACAACAAUAAUGACACCAAUAAAAGUAACAAAAAAAAUCUGUGAGUAAAGCUGUUUAAACUAAAUUAGCCAGUAACCCAUUGAGUUCACCAAAUUUAUAUUUUUCCAGUUCACUGAUUGAUGAAAGAAACAUAAAACUGGGGUGGAUGGUGGGUAAAACACAGAUCAGGUAAUCAGUAAAACCAAACAAACGGUUAGAGAAACUGUUUUCAAGAACUACAGAGAGAUUCUAUUGCCAAAGAGCAUAAUCAUCAGUGUGUAAGAAACCAAUAAAACUACUCAGGAGAAGAUUAUGAAAUCGUUCAGUUGUUUAUUCAAUAAAAAUAUAAGUGCAUGGGGUGAAGUUAAUCUUUAUCAUUCUAUUAUAUAGAUAUAGGCGAGCCAACAUUCUUGGACUGCCCAAACUGAACGAACCAUUGGAAAUAUCUGCUACUGUCAAGUAUUUCAACUUGUGGGCGCACCUCAUGCAUUGAUGAUCCUCCUUGAGCAUUUUUUACGAGAGCUUCCAGACUGUAUUGUAUCUUUUUGCCAAUUAUUCAAGAGAAUGUUUGAGAGUGUGGGUUUUUAAAAAAAAAAUUACUAUCAUUCAUACUUAAAACCCUUAAAGAUUUUAGUGUUUUAAUGAUGUUGAGCACCAGCUUUUAACAGAUGUAUUUAAAUGCUAUUGUGUGAAGCGGAACUCAUCAGAACACAACGUAUACAGAGAAGCAUCAAGCAGGCUUCCCCUCUUGCUUGGUAUUUGUAGGAUUUUGCCAUUGAGCCCCUCCUAAACAAAAUCAGACAGAAUCUUGAACGUUUGACUUAUUCUCUGCCAUAGUAAAGUGAGCAUGUGAGGGACUA